UACGAAGGGGGCUAGCGUUGCUCGGAAUCACUGGGCGUAAAGGGUGCGUAGGCGGGUCUUUAAGUCAGGGGUGAAAUCCUGGAGCUCAACUCCAGAACUGCCUUUGAUACUGAAGAUCUUGAGUCCGGGAGAGGUGAGUGGAACUGCGAGUGUAGAGGUGAAAUUCGUAGAUAUUCGCAAGAACACCAGUGGCGAAGGCGGCUCACUGGCCCGGUACUCGACGCUGAGGCACGAAAGCGUGGGGAGCAAACAGG
rnacentral:rRNA from 1 species